UGGGGAAUCUUGCACAAUGGGGGAAACCCUGAUGCAGCGACGCCUCGUGAACGAUGAAGCCCUUCGGGGUGUAAAGUUCUUUCGACGGGAACGAUAAUGACGGUACCCGGAGAAGAAGCUGCGGCUAACUACGUGCCAGCAGCCGCGGUAAUACGUAGGCAGCGAGCGUUGUUCGGAAUUACUGGGCGUAAAGAGUGUGUAGGUGGUGACGUAAGUUCUGUGUGAAAUCUCCCGGCUUAACCGGGAGGGUGCGCAGAAGACUGCGUUGCUAGAGUAUGGGAGAGGUAAGCGGAAUUCCUGGUGUAGCGGUGAAAUGCGUAGAUAUCAGGAGGAACACCUGUGGUGUAGACGGCUUACUGGACCAUUACUGACACUGAGACACGAAAGCGUGGGUAGCAAACAGG
rnacentral:rRNA from 1 species